GGGACGCUUCGGGCGGGGUGGGCCGCCCUCCAGCGGAGUCCGCCCCGCGGGGAGAGGGCCCACAGGGCAGGGGGCCACGGACGCGUCCUGCAGCGGAGGCCGCCCUCCCCGGCGCCCGCGGCCUCCCAGCCGACGCCUGAGCCCCGCCCCAUCCUCCUCCCUUCUCUUGUCCCCCCCUCCCCCCCCCGCCCCCCUCCCCGAGGCUCCGCCGGGCGAGGCCGAUAAUGGCGUCCUUGUUCGCGGCCGCCGGCACCCCACCUCCACGGCUUCGCCCCGGCCUCUGUGCCGCAGGCGCCACGCCGGCAGCUGCCGGGCUGCUGGCACCCGGGGCGGCCCGGGGGAGGGACCGGCUCUGCCCGCCCGUGUCCGGCGGACCUUCGGGCCGCGCCGAAGCCCCGCCCGGCGGGAACGCGCCCGCCGCCUCCAUUUUGCCUGCUUGGUGCGGACGUGGGGGACGGCCCCCGGAUCGCGGGCGCUCCUUCCGCGCCAGCAGCCUCAGAAACGCGCGUCCGUGGGGAGCUGGUUGGAGCACCCGCGCUCGGCAGCGUGAGGAGGUCCGGUGAGCAGCCCGGAGGCGGCGGCUGGGUUGCGGGCGCGCCGGCGGAGCCCUGGCCGUCCACGUUGAGCGGCGACCCUGGACGUUGUGCCAGUGCCAACCCGAGCCUCGGGCCCUUUCCUCGGUCGCUCAAAAGUAACAGCCUGUGUAUGUGUGCGCACUGGCACACUCGUGGCAAAAACCGGUCAAACCGUCGAGAGAGAGAGAAAGAAAGAGAGAGGGGAGGGGCAGAGAGAAUCUCAAGCAGACUACCCAUGCUGGGCUCGAUCCCACAACCCAGACCCAUGCGAUCAUGACCUGAGCUGAUACCAGGAGUCGAUCACUCAACUGACUGAGCCAUCCAGGUACCCCUCACCAAGCAUUUUUUGAGAGCCAAAGUAUUCACUGGCCUGUCUUUAAAAAACAACAAUUACAAAAAUACCCUUUAUAGAAAUGUACAUAUAUUUUAUUUUAUUUUUAAAGAUUUUAUUUAUUUGAGACAGCACAAGUGGGCAGGAGAGUCAGAGGGAGAGGAAGAAGCAGACUCCCUGCUGAACAGGGAGCCCAGUGUGGGACUGAUUCCAGGACACUGAGAUCAUAACCUGAGUUGAAGGUAGAUGCUUAAAGGACUGAGCCACCCAGGUGCCUCACCCCCCCCCCCCCGCCUUUUUAAAAAAAAGAUUUUCAUAUAUUUUGAAUAGUUCAUCUUUAAUCUUGAGAUUUUUUAAAGUUAUAAAGGAAGAUUAAGCUUCUGGAUUUAUAUCUAGCUCUUCAACAUUUAGGGAUUAAUCUUGGUAAAAGUACUGAGAACAUUAGUAACAAAAAUUAACUAUGACAGGCUAUUAUGUUCUAUUUAUAAUAGUUUCUUAUAAGAUUAUAUACACUGAAGUUGUUCUCUUCCUUUGUAGCAUUUUUGUGCUUUAACAUAAUUUAUUUUUUCUUAGGGAUGUGUGGGUGUCUCAGUCCAUUAAGCAUCUUCCUUUGGCUCAGGAUCCCAGGGUCCUGGGAUUGAGUCUGCUUCAGGCUCCUUGCUCAUCAGGCUCCUUGCUCAGCGGGGAGCCUGCUUUUCCCUUUGCCUCUGCCUGCCACUCCCCCUGUUUGUGCUUGCUCUGUGUCUCUGACAAAUAAAUAAAUAAAAUCUUUAAAAAAAAUUUUUUUUCCUAGAUUAAAAAAUGCAUAUAGUUAUGUUAGCUAACAAAGAAAGGAAUUUAAAUUUUAUUUUUUAUUUUUAUUUUUAAAGAUUUUAUUUAUUUAUUUGACAGAGAGAGACACAGAGAGAGAGAGGGAACACAAGCAGGGAGAGUGGGAGAGGGAGAAGCGGGCUUCCCGUGGAGCAGGGAGCCAGAUGUGGGGCUUGAUCCCAGGACCCUGGGACCAUGACCUGAGCCGAAGGCAGACGCUUAACGACUGAGCCACCCAGGCGCCCCAGGAAUUUAAAUUUUAGAAUCAAGUUAAUUUUAAAGAGUUAAUUUUGUUUUACUGAAAGAAUGUUUGAAAUGGGAUAGCAAAAAUUGUUUUUGAAGUUAUAUUAUUUCUCUCAAGUUUGCUCAGCCAGAACAUUUUUUUCCUUUUCCUUCUGUUUAGUUUUGUUUAGAGAAUCAACGCAGUUGUUGAUUCUUUGAAUCUUUUAAUCUUAUUGUUUCUAUCUCCUCGAGAAUUUUACAUAGGACUGCAAGGAACUUCUGUUUGUAAUUAGAAUCAUGUCUAGCAAACAAACUGCUUAGGAAUAAAAUCCUCUAACUUUUGGCAGGCCAAAGGAACUUUGUCAGUUUUUUUUAGUAAGCCUCAGAUACUUAAAGCUUGCUUAGGAUUUACUAUUUUUGUAUAAAAAUAUUGUUCGUUUCUUUGCAUUGCUUGGUAAAGUGCCUCCAAUUCAACUAUCAACUCCUAAAUGGUAGAGGUUUUACAAGUUUUUGUUUGUUUAUUUCUUUGUAUUGUGCUGCCAUUCCUCUGAAAACCCAACAUUUGAAAAUCUAAGGUAAAAAACAAACUACAGGUGGAUAUUACUUUUUAAAAAGGGAACUGUUGAUAGUACAGGGUAUACUAUGGAGUAGUAGAAAAGUGGAGUAAGACCUCAAUUUCCCCAAGCUCUGUCUGAUCUUAGCCAAGAUGCUAGACCGUAGGAGCCUCCAGUUCCUCAGAUGUAAAGUGGGAAAGAUUUUACCUACUUCAUAAUGUUGUUAUAAUGGAGAUGGUGUCGUCUUACUCAUCUUUAUAUCCCCCAGCACCCACCAUGAUGCCUGGCAGUAAAGAAAUGCUGAAUAAAUAGAAAGGAAAGUGCUUGGCACAUUCUAGGAAAUAAGUAGCUCUUAGUAUAUGUGUGGCAUGGAAUCCAGGAGUUAAGAAAAACUUUGUCUUACCAAUUGUUGAUCACACAUAAUGCAUUCAUGCCUAUUUUGGGGGCCAUUUAAUAGUUUUCUCCCUGUUUUAGAUGGAUAACAAUCUAGGUAGAGACUAACUGAAGAAGAAAACUAACUUACCAACAAUUUAUUUCCUCGAAUUCAGAAUAAAACUUGGAGAAAAAUUGGACUGAAAUUUAUCUUUGUACUUACCUAUAAAAAUUGGUCAAGAAAAUUCAUACUUUAAAAAGUCAAAUGGACAAUGAGAUAGCACUUCACACCCAUUAGGAUGGCUACAAUAAAAAAAUUAGUGUUGGCGAGGUGUGGAGAAAUUGGAGCCCUUGUGUGCUGUUGAUGGGCAUGUAAAAUGGUACAGCUGCUGUGGAAAAUAGUAUGGCAGUUCCUCAAAAAUUCAGAUAUUGAAUUACCAUAUGAUCAAGCAAAUCUACAUCUGGCUUUAUACCCAAAAUAAUUGAAAGCAGGAACUUGAAUAACUAUUUGUACACCCAUGUUCAUAGCAGUAUUAGCCACAGUAGUCAAAAGGUAGAAGCAACUCAAGUGUCCAUCAAUGGAUGUUAAACAAAAUGCAGUAUAAUCAUACACUGCAAUAUCAUUCGUCUUUAAAAAGGAAAGAAAUUCUGACUUAAUGCUACCACAAGGCUGAAUCUCAAAGAUACUAUUCUAAGUGAAUUUAGCCAGUCACAGAAAGACAAGUACUGUAUAAUUCUACUUACAUGAGAUACCUAGAGUAGCCAAAUUCAUAGAACAGAGAGUAGAAUCAUGGCUGCCAGGGGGAAGGGGGGAAGGGAAGUUGUUAUUUAAAGGGAAUAGAGUCAGUUUUUGCAAGAAGAAUUCUAGAGAUGGGUUGCACAACAAUGUGAAUGUACCUAACACUAUUGAACUGUACAGUGGUUAGGACGGUUAAUUUUUUAGUCUGUUUUACCACAAUUUAAAACAGAUCAAAUGGAAAUGUUGAGUACAUCCAAAAUGAAAAGAAAAAAAAAUUGGUACCUUUUUUUGGAAGGCAAUUUGGAAAUUCAUGUUAAAGGAAAGAUGAUAUCCACAUGCUUUGAUUUAUUUAUUUAUUUAUUUUUAAAGAUUUUAUUUAUUUAUUUGACAGAGAAAGACACAGCGAGAGAGGGAACACAAACGGGGAGUGGGAGAGGGAGAAGCAGACUCCCUGCCGAGCAGGGAGCCUGAUGCAGGACUCGAUCCCAGGACUCCAGGAUCAUGACCUGAGCCGAAGGCAGUCACUUAACCAACUGAGCCACCCAGGCGCCCCACAUGCUUUGAUUUUAAUAUACUCCUGGGUAUUUAUCCUUAGAAAUAUAUUCUGAAAAAAAAGUGAGAAGUAAAAAAUAAUUAUUAUAAGGUUAUUUAUAAAUUUGAAAAUAUGGAUAAAAUCUACUUGUCCAACAAAUGGAGGAUGCAAAAUAAGUUGUUAUGUAUUGACUUAUUGAACUGUAGCCUUUUAAAACAAUAUGUAAAAAUUACACAUGUAAAUGGGUAAAGAUUAUAGGAGAACACAGGAGAUGAUAUCAGGGUGGUUAGAUUUUCAGGGGCAUUCAUUUUUUUUUUUUUUUAAGAUUUUAUUUAUUUAUUUGAGAGAGAGAAUGAGAUAGAGAGAGAGAGAGCAUGAGACGGGGGAGGGUCAGAGGGAGAAGCAGACUCCCUGCCAAGCAGGGAGCCCGAUGCGGGACUCGAUACUGGGACUCCAGGAUCAUGACCUGAGCCGAAGGCAGUUGCUUAACCAACUGAUCCACCCAGGCACCCAGGGGGCAUUCAUUUUUAAGUCUCACUAUUUUAUUUAUUUAUAUGUUUAAAAAGAUUUUAUUAAUUUAAUUUACUUAUUUGAGAGAGAGCGAGAGAGCACGAGCAGGGGGGAGAGGGAGAAGCAGGCUCUCCACUGAGCAGGGUGCCCAAUGUGGGGCUAGAUCCCAGGACCCUGCGAUCAUGACCUGAGCCAAAGGCAGAUGCUGAACCUACUGACCACCCAGGCACCCCGAUUUAUUUAUUUUAGAUAGAGCAAGAGUGAGUUAGGCUUGGAAGGGGAAAGGGAAGGGACAGAGGGGGAGGAAGAGGGAUAAGCAGACUCCGCAAUGAGUGCAGAGCCGAGGCAGGGCUGGAUUGGACUACCAGAUAACAACGUGGGUCGAAAUCAAGAGUCCAACACUCAACCGAAAAGUCUCACAAUUUUAAUGUCAUUUCUCCAAAAGCUUUAAAAUCCUAAAUAUCCUAAAUAUAAAAACUAUUUUUAUGUUUUAAAAUCCGUACGCUAACUAUAAAUUAUUCUUACCCAUUUGUGAACACGUGUUUACUACAUCCUGUACCUGACAGUGCUUUAUAAACCUCUAGUAUGGGUUUUAUAGAUAUUAAGAGUGUAAUAAAAUGAUUUAUUUUUAAAAUGUGGCAAUAAAUUUGGACUCUAAAACCUGGGCUUGAAUUUGCAUACUGCUUUUUUUUCAGAUUUUACUUGGGUGUGUCACUUAAUUUCUCUGAACUUCAGUUCAAAGAGUUCCCAGUCUAAUAAGCACUAAAUUCUGAAGUGGGCACUGGACAAAAUGUUUUUACAUGAAUUAGGUCAUUUAAUCCUUCCAACAAACCUAUGUGAUAGAUGCCUCUGUUAAUAUCCUUUCUACAAAUGAAGAAACGGGCUCAGUUUCAGCCACAACAGGUUAAGAGUUUGGGAAGUCAUCACUUCUAUCACUAUAAACUGGAAGAAACACUUGGUAAUUUUGGCAAAUUGCUGGAGGCUAUGUGAAAUACCAAGUGUGAGAAACUCCCUGGGAGCCUGUAGUCCUAGGAGAUGCCUCACAUAUUCUUGGGUUUUGCUUCCAGGAAACCUACCAGGUCACCUGGUAAAGACCCAAGAAAGACCCCAUGUUGCUCUAGCAGGGGGAGGGGGAAGGUAAACAUUUUGAAAUCUCCUCAGAGCAUUCCACAUAACGAAGACCUACUCUCCAGGUGGAAAAGACUUUACCAGAGCUUUGUCCUCCCUGCCUGCAUUUAACCAACUCCAGUCCCCUGUAGCAUUCCUAUCUCAUCUGAGGGGGCUGGGAGAAGCUAAAAAACACUUCUGAAGGUCACAGCCCAGAGACAAGUCCAGUAAAAGACUAAAGUUUAAAUAUGAGGUAGAAUGCUUCCCUUUACUUACGCUUUACCACCACAUCACAGAGUUGUAGUACAAUAAUAGUGGAUUACAGAUGAAAUGUGUGUGGUACACACUAUUUAAGGAGGAGUCCUUAGAGGAGUCUGGCACCUACAGCUAUAGCAAACAUUAAACACAGCCCUAUUCUUAGCCAAAUUGUUAUGAAGUCUCUUAACUGACUGUCUUAGUUUCUAUUACUUGAGCGUUACGUCUGGCUUUCAACAAAAAAUUAGAAGGCAUGCAAAAAGCAAAAACACCAUCUGAGAUCAAGUAAGCAUAAGAGCUAAACUCAGAUCUGUGAUACAUAUCUUGGAAUUAUCAGAUUGAGAUUUAAAAGAACUAUGAUUAAUAUGUUUAGGGCUUUAAUGGGAAAAGACAACAUUCAAGAAAAAAUGGGUGGUAUAAGCAGAGACAUGGAAACUCUGAAGGAAUCAAAGGGAAAUGUUAGAAAUCCAAUGCAGUGGAACAGAAGAACCUUUGAUGGGUCCAUCAGUAGACUCAACAUUUCUGAGGAAAGAAUGAUAGAACUUGAAGAUUUCAAUAGAAACUUCGAAGCUGAAAUGCAAAGAGAAAAAAGAAUGAAAAAAAACAAAAACAAAA